GUCGCCGUCAGCUGAAAUUCGUAGCGGUUAUCGGUAAAAAUAAUCUAAACUAUCAAUCGCGUUCACUCGAGAUAUAGUUUUUCACAUUCCAUUCAUAAAUCGCAAAAAGAAAAACCACUACUGACCUAUCUUUUAAGUGAUCGCACUGUAAUAAUCCUGACCUUCACUUUUUCCAGAAUAUUUUCCAUUGUAAUUCCGCCAUCUUCGUUUCUAUGAGGAUCAUUUGUUUACAUAUGACAUUCGUCACUGUACGCAGUUUCCUGAAAUGUUCCUUUCAUUGAUGUGAUAAGGUUUCCCGCGCUUUAUGCAAAUUUUAUGAAAUUGAACUCCACGGAAACACUUCCGGUAAAAACAAUGGCUGAUUCCACCAUUCAAAAUCGCCUAUGAUGGUCCCUUUUUUAGUAUAAUGAAAGAUAUGUAUAAAGAGGUUUUGUACUCGGUAAAGAUCUCGGAAGGUAUCACUGAUUUUUUUUUAAUUCCUCAGUUGGGGUAAAACAAGGGUGUAUUUUAAGCCCUACAUUAUUUUCUUUAUAUAUUAAUGAUUUACCAUCUAUUUUUGACUCAACAUGUGAACCA
rnacentral:lncRNA from 1 species